UCCAAGGAAGGCAGCAGGCGCGCAAAUUACCCAAUCCCGACACGGGGAGGUAGUGACAAUAAAUACUGAUACAGGGCUCUUUUGGGUCUUGUAAUUGGAAUGAGUACAAUUUAAAUCCCUUAACGAGGAACAAUUGGAGGGCAAGUCUGGUGCCAGCAGCCGCGGUAAUUCCAGCUCCAAUAGCGUAUAUUAAAGUUGUUGCAGUUAAAAAGCUCGUAGUUGAACCUUGGACCUGGCUGAUCUGUCCUCCUAAUCGAGCGCACGGAUUCGGUCGGGUCUUUCCUUCUGGGGAGCCCUAUGCCCUUCACUGGGUGUAGUGGGGAACCAGGACUUUUACCUUGAAAAAAUUAGAGUGUUCAAAGCAGGCCUUUGCUCGAAUACAUUAGCAUGGAAUAAUAGAAUAGGACAUCGGUUCUAUUUUGUUGGUUUCUAGGACCGCUGUAAUGAUUAAUAGGGAUAGUCGGGGGCGUCAGUAUUCAAUUGUCAGAGGUGAAAUUCUUGGAUUUAUUGAAGACUAACUACUGCGAAAGCAUUCGCCAAGGAUGUUUUCAUUAAUCAGUGAACGAAAGUUAGGGGAUCGAAGACGAUCAGAUACCGUCG
rnacentral:rRNA from 1 species